UAGGCCUACGAAAAUUUACACUUUCAAAACCAAACUUGCAAUUUAGUACUACUUAGGCCU
rnacentral:tRNA from 1 species